UACGUAGGGGGCAAGCGUUGUCCGGAAUCAUUGGGCGUAAAGCGCGUGUAGGCGGCUCGGUAAGUCCGCUCUGAAGGUCCAGGGCUCAACCCUGGGAUGCGGGUGGAUACUGCCGAGCUCGAGUCCGGAAGAGGCGAGUGGAAUUCCUGGUGUAGCGGUGAAAUGCGCAGAUAUCAGGAGGAACACCAAUGGCGAAGGCAGCUCGCUGGGACGUGACUGACGCUGAGACGCGAAAGCGUGGGGAGCAAACAGG
rnacentral:rRNA from 1 species